UACGUAGGUGGCAAGCGUUAUCCGGAAUUAUUGGGCGUAAGCGCGCGCAGCGGUUUCUUAAGUCUGAUGUGAAAGCCCACGGCUCAACCGUGGAGGGUCAUUGGAAACUGGGAAACUUGAGUGCAGAAGAGAAAAGCGGAAUUCCACGUGUAGCGGUGAAAUGCGUAGAGAUGUGGAGGAACACCAGUGGCGAAGGCGGCUUUUUGGUCUGUAACUGACGCUGAGGCGCGAAAGCGUGGGGAGCAAACAGGAGUUAGAUACCCUGG
rnacentral:rRNA from 1 species